CGGUAAUUCCAGCUCCAAUAGCGUAUACUAAAGUUGUUGCAGUUAAAAAGCUCGUAGUCGGAUUUCUGCGCGGGUGGGGCAGCCAGUGCCGCUUUUGGCUCAGCGCUAGCAACGCCCGCGCAUCCUGCCGCGAACGUCGCUACCAUUAGUUUGGUGGCGCUUCGGGAUCGGCUCGUUUACUUUGAGAAAAAUAGAGUGUUCAAAGCAGGCCAACCCGCCUUGAAUAAGUUAGCAUGGAAUAAUGAUAAAGGACUUCGGUUCUAUUUUGUUGGUGUUCCGGGACUGAAGUAAUGAUUGAUAGGGACGGUUGGGGGCCUCAGUAUUUCGGAGCGAGAGGUGAAAUUCUUAGACCUCCGGAAGACUAACCGCUGCGAAAGCGUUGGCCAAGGACGUUCCCUUUGAUCAAGAACGAAAGUUGGGGGAUCGAAGACCAUCAGAUACGGUCGUAGUCUCAACUAUAAACUAUACCAGCUAGGGAUCGGCCGAUGUUGUAACCUUAAGACUCGGUCGGCACCUUAUGAGAAAUCAAAGCAUCUGGGUUCCGGGGGGGAGUAUGGUCGCAAGGCUGAAACUUAAAGGAAUUGACGGAAGGGCACCACCAGCCGUGGAGCCUGCGGCUUAAUUUGACUCAACACGGGGAAACUUACCAGGUCCAGACAUUGUGAGGAUUGACAGAUUGACAGCUCUUUCUUGAUUCUAUGGGUGGCGGGGCAUGUCCGUUCUUAGUUGGUGGAGUGUUUGGUUAGGUUAAUUCCGUUAACGAACGAGACCCCGACAUGAUAAUAAUAGCGCGCGUGACAUUUCAUUCCUCGCCAGCUAGCUUAUUAGAGGGACUAGUGCUUGACUCUAGGCACGUGAAGUCCGAGGCAAUAUCAGGUAUGUGAUGCCAUUAGAUGUUCUGGGCCGCGCGCGGGCUGCACCGGCCCCUGCAAAGAUCAUAUCAGCUGAGCCGAUAGGGUAUGGUAUGUCUAAUGUUUUGAACCGGCGCCGGGGUUGGGAUCGACCUUUUCAAUUUUGGGUAGCGCAGCGAGGAAUGCAUAGUAAAUUCGUGUCAUCAACUUCGCGUAGAAUACGUCCCUGCCCACAGUACACACCAACCAAGAGGUGAAUCCA
rnacentral:rRNA from 1 species